ACUGCCGGGUUAACCGGGAGGAAGGUGGGGAUGACGUCAAGUCAUCAUGGCCCUUACGCCUAGGGCUACACACGUACUACAAUGGUGGGUACAAAGGGCAGCGAAACCGUGAGGUCGAGCGAAUCUCAAAAAACCCAUCAUAGUCCGGAUUGCAGUCUGCAACUCGACUGCAUGAAGUUGGAAUCGCUAGUAAUCCCGGAUCAGCAUGCCGGGGUGAAUACGUUCCCGGGCCUU
rnacentral:rRNA from 1 species